rnacentral:tRNA from 1 species
GUAGCGCAACGGAUAGUGCGUUGGACAUCUAAUCCAAAGGUCGUGGGUUCGAAUCCCCCUCG